rnacentral:rRNA from 1 species
UACGAAGGGGGCUAGCGUUGUUCGGAAUCACUGGGCGUAAAGGGUGCGUAGGCGGGUCUUUAAGUCAGGGGUGAAAUCCUGGAGCUCAACUCCAGAACUGCCCUUGAUACUGAAGAUCUUGAGUUCGGGAGAGGUGAGUGGAACUGCGAGUGUAGAGGUGAAAUUCGUAGAUAUUCGCAAGAACACCAGUGGCGAAGGCGGCUCACUGGCCCGAUACUGACGCUGAGGCACGAAAGCGUGGGGAGCAAACAGG